rnacentral:sRNA from 1 species
CAAUAUGCUCAUAAACUCAAACUGUUGGAGAAAGAGAGCAAAGCUAAGAAUGAAAGAAUUCAACAACUUCAAGAAAAGAAUUUGCAUGCUGUAGUACAAACUCCAGGUGGCAAGAAAAGAAGUAUUGCUUUCAGGCGCCAGCGUAUGCAAAUUGAUGAACCGGUUCCUCCCUCUGAAGUCAGUUCAUAUCCAGUUCCUCAACCAGAUGACCCUUACAUUGCAGACCUCCUUCAAGUGGCUGAUAACAGGAUUCAAGAACUUCAACAGGAAGUCCACCAGCUACAAGAAAAGUUAGCAAUGAUGGAAAGUGGGGUGAGAGACUAUAGCAAGCAGAUUGAGCUAAGAGAACGAGAGAUAGAACGACUGUCAGUUGCUUUGGAUGGUGGUCGGUCCCCUGAUGUCCUUUCUCUGGAGUCUAGAAAUAAAACCAAUGAAAAGCUUAUUGCUCAUUUAAAUAUUCAGGUUGACUUUCUUCAGCAAGCUAAUAAAGACCUGGAGAAGCGUAUACGAGAGCUUAUGGAAACCAAGGAAACAGUGACAUCUGAAGUCGUUAAUUUAAGUAACAAAAAUGAAAAACUCUGCCAAGAAUUAACUGAAAUAGAUCAGUUAGCACAGCAGUUGGAAAGACAUAAAGAAGAAGUGCUUGAGACUGCUGAUAAAGAGCUUGGGGAAGCAAAGGUAAUGAAUGAUAUGUGUAGAUUGUGAGAGUGUUCAUUAAUUCUCCUAGCACACAGUAAGCUUGAUCCCUUUUGAUAUCUGCAUUCAGGUUUUUGGUUUAUUUUGUAUGUCUGUUUUUGUUUUUUUGCUUUGGUAAUUCAGGGUUUUCUGAAGUGUUGUUUACACCCUGUAAAUGAUUGUAUUUGUUUUAGUUGUUUGAGUGUCUCUCUGAAGCACACCUAUUCUUAGGAUGGAUCUCCAAACUCUAGUCUGUUUUCCUUCACGAUUUUUAUCUCUGCCCCUUUAUCUAUGCAUUGUGAGAGAGCUUUUGAAGUUUCCCCUCUAUGUCAUUUUUGCUCAAGAGUCCUUUUUUUUUGAGACAGAAUCUCUGUCUCCCAGGCUGGAGUGCAAUGGUGUGAUCUCGGCUCACUGCAACCCCCGUCUCCCGGGUUCAAGUGAUUCUCCUGCCUCAGCCUCCAAGUAGCUGGAAUUACAGGUGCCCGCCACCAUGCCCAGCUAAUUUUUGUACUUUUAGUAGAGACGGGGUUUCACCAUGUGGGCCAGCCUGGUCUCGAACUCCUGACCUCAGGUGAUCCAUCCACCUCAGCCUCCCAAAAUGCUGGGAUUACAGGCGUGAGCCACCACGCUCGGCUUGUGUUUUUUGAGACAUGGUCUUGCUCUGUUGCCCAGGCUGGAGUGUGGUGGGACAAUCAUAGCUCACUGCAGCCUCAACCUCCUCAGG